GAAUUUGAUUCUGGCUCCAGAAGAACCCCUGCCGCCUGCCCAACCCCUGCCAGUCCAACCAAACCCUUUUCUUUGAUUCCUCCGAAAGAAAGUAUUGGGACCGAACCGCCGAACGGUGAAUUACCCCUGGGUAACCCGCCCCCUUCCGGGGGAAUACCGUUAAAAAUGGCUGGUUAUUCCCCAUUAAAACCCCGCCCCCCCUGGUGCGGGGGUAAAAACUCCGGUGGUAUGAGAUGGACCCGCGUCUGAUUAGCUAGUUGGUAAGGUAAGGGCUUACCAAGGCGACGAUCAGUAGCCGACCUGAGAGGGUGAUCGGCCACAUUGGGACUGAGACACGGCCCAAACUCCUACGGGAGGCAGCAGUGGGGAAUAUUGCACAAUGGGGGAAACCCUGAUGCAGCGACGCCGCGUGAGUGAUGAAGUAUUUCGGUAUGUAAAGCUCUAUCAGCAGGGAAGAAAAUGACGGUACCUGACUAAGAAGCACCGGCUAAAUACGUGCCAGCAGCCGCGGUAAUACGUAUGGUGCAAGCGUUAUCCGGAUUUACUGGGUGUAAAGGGAGCGUAGACGGAGAGGCAAGUCUGAUGUGAAAACCCGGGGCUCAACCCCGGGACUGCAUUGGAAACUGUUUUUCUAGAGUGUCGGAGAGGCAAGUGGAAUUCCUAGUGUAGCGGUGAAAUGCGUAGAUAUUAGGAGGAACACCAGUGGCGAAGGCGGCUUGCUGGACGAUGACUGACGUUGAGGCUCGAAAGCGUGGGGAGCAAACAGGAUUAGAUACCCUGGUAGUCCACGCCGUAAACGA
rnacentral:rRNA from 1 species